rnacentral:rRNA from 1 species
GUGAACGCUGGCGGCGUGCCUAAGACCUGCAAGUCGAGCGGGGCAGGUUUAUACCUGUUCAGCGGCGGACGGGUGAGUAACGCGUGGGUGACCUACCCGGAAGAGGCGGACAACCUGGGGAAACCCAGGCUAAUCCGCCAUGUGGUCCUGUCCUGUGGGGCAGGACUAAAGGGUGGAUAGCCCGCUUCCGGAUGGGCCCGCGUCCCAUCAGCUAGUUGGUGGGGUAAAGGCCCACCAAGGCGACGACGGGUAGCCGGUCUGAGAGGAUGGCCGGCCACAGGGGCACUGGGCCACGGGCCCCACUCCUACGGGAGGCAGCAGGUAGGAAUCUUCCGCAAUGGACGGAAGUCUGACGGAGCGACGCCGCUGGGAGGGGGAAGCCCUUCGGGGUGUAAACUCCUGAACUGGGGACGAAAGCCCUGUGUAGGGGGAUGACGGGACCCAGGUAAUAGCGCCGGCCAACUCCGUG